rnacentral:rRNA from 1 species
UGGGGAAUUUUGGACAAUGGGCGAAAGCCUGAUCCAGCAAUGCCGCGUGUGUGAAGAAGGCCUUCGGGUUGUAAAGCACUUUUGUCCGGAAAGAAAUCCUUGGCUCUAAUACAGUCGGGGGAUGACGGUACCGGAAGAAUAAGCACCGGCUAACUACGUGCCAGCAGCCGCGGUAAUACGUAGGGUGCAAGCGUUAAUCGGAAUUACUGGGCGUAAAGCGUGCGCAGGCGGUUUGCUAAGACCGAUGUGAAAUCCCCGGGCUCAACCUGGGAACUGCAUUGGUGACUGGCAGGCUAGAGUAUGGCAGAGGGGGGUAGAAUUCCACGUGUAGCAGUGAAAUGCGUAGAGAUGUGGAGGAAUACCGAUGGCGAAGGCAGCCCCCUGGGCCAAUACUGACGCUCAUGCACGAAAGCGUGGGGAGCAAACAGGAUUCAGAUACCCUGGUAGUCCACGCCCUAAACGAUGUCAACUAGUUGUUGGGGAUUCAUUCCUUAGUAACGUAGCUAACGCGUGAAGUUGACCGCCUGGGGAGUACGGUCGCAAGAUUAAAACUUAAAUGAAUUGACGGGGUCAUA